AAGCUAUGGAUUUCCCAGUAGUGAUGUAUGGAAGUGAAAGCUGGACUAUAAAGAAGGCUGAUCACCGAAGAAUUGAUGCUUUUGAAUUCUGGUGCUGGAGGAGACUCUUGAGAGUCCCAUGGACUGCAAGAAGAUCAAACCUCUCCAUUCUGAAGGAAAUCAGCCCUGAGUGCUCACUGGAAGGACAGAUCCUGAAGCUGAGGCUCCAAGACUUUGGCCACCUCAUGAGAAGAGAAGACUCCCUGGAAAAGACCCUGAUGUUGGGAAAGAUGGAGGGCACAAGGAGAAGGGGACGACAGAGGACGAGGUGGUUGGACAGUGUUCUCAAAGCUACCAGCAUGAGUUUGACCAAACUGCAGGAGGCAGUGGAAGACAGAAGUGCUUGGCGUGCUCUCGUCCAGGGAGUCACCAAGAGGCGGACACAACUAAAUGACUAAACAACAACAUUCAACCUCACAAUCAGAUCUGAGAAAUCAGGGAACUGACCUCUCUAAGAUGUAGCUUCUGAAGCCACUGCCUUGACAGUCCAUACAGGAAGCCACUCUGGGCGGCUUCCAUAGAAACCAAAAAACACUAAAAUAUCAUACAUUAAAAACUUCCCUGAACAGGGCUGCCUUAAGAUGUCUUCUGAAUGUCAGGUAGUUGUUUAUCGUUUUGACAUCUGAUGGGAGGGCGUUCCACAGGGCGGGCGCCACUACCGAGAAGGCCCUCUGCCUGGUUCCCUGUAGCUUUGCUUCUCGCAAUGAGGGAACCGCCAGAAGGCCCUUGGCGCUGGACCUCAGUGUCCGGGCAGAACGAUGGGGGUGGAGACACUCCUUCAGGUAUACUGGGCCGAGGCCGUUUAGGGCUUUAAAGGUCAACACCAGCACUUUGAAUUGUGCUCGGAAACGUACUGUGGUCCAUACCGAGAACAGUACUGGGAGCCAAUGUAGGUCUUUCAAGACCGGUGUUAUGUGGUCUCGGCGGCUGCCCCCAGUCACCAGUCUAGCUGCCGCAUUCUGGAUUAGCUGUAGUUUCCGAGUCACCUUCAAAGGUAGCCCCACGUAGAGCGCAUUGCAGUAGUCCAAGCGGGAGAUAACUAGAGCAUGCACCACUCUUGCGAGACAGUAAUAGCACAUAGGGGAGUGGGUGGGGAAGUUUAAGGGAAGUGGCAUGAAUUCAGCCUAAAAUGACUGCUGUACACACAUGUGGGGAGAAUUCCAGCCAUUUCCUCUCUGUGAGCCUCCCCUCCCCCUUUCCUUAACAGUCUAAUAAUCAGUUUACAGCAGGGCUGUCAAGCUUCAGCUAAAGGCUGGUGGAAGAUUUGUAUGGUGCCACAGGGAGAUUCUGCAGAGCUGGAGGGGGAUUCAAGUAACUAAUUGAUGCAAUCAAUUUUUAGUGAGGAAUAACAAGGCACACACCAUUAAUAUUUAAUGCGGAGGAAAAUGUAUUUUGAGAGUUUUUAAAAGGAAAUAUAUGAAUCUACUAUUAAAAUGGUCCCCAUACAGGAUCAACAUGAAACAAAACCUCUUUUAAUUCACAAGAAUGUGAAUUCUGUAAGAAUUUGAAAAACCCUACCACCUGCCCCCUCUAUUUUCAACCCUUCUGCUCUUCAUUAACUGCAAGAGCUGGGAACUGGGGGUCAGGGGGGCGGAAAGGCAGCACAAACAAACAUCUGUAUUUCAUAGGACCUUUUUGCAUUAAUGCCCAGCUAUAAAGGUAAAGGGACCCCUGACCAUUAGGUCCAGUCGUGGCCGACUCUGGGGUUGCAGUGCUCAUCUUGCUUUACUAGCCAGGAGCCGGCGUACAGCUUCUGGGUCAUGUGGCCAGCAGGACUAAGCCACUUCUGGUGAACCAGAGCAGCGCACAGAAAUGCCGUUUACCUCUGCCAGAGCGGUACCUGUUUAUCUACUUGCACUUUGACGUGCUUUCAAACUGCUAGGUUGGCAGGAGCAGGGACCGAGCAACGGGAGCUCACCCCGUCGCGGGGAUUCGAACCACCGACCUUCUGAUCAGCAAGCCCUAGGCUCUGUGGUUUAACCCACAGCGCCACCUGCGUCCCUAAUGCCCAGCUAAGGGGUAACUAAUACUGCACCAUUUUUUCAGUAGAUUUGAUAUCUUGUGCAAAAUUUGUAAUUUAAUGGGUAAAUGGAGAGUUUUGAAAGCAUCCACAGAAAGCCUUCCUUCUAUGCACUGGUCAUUCUUCCUGCCCACCAAUGUUUCUGGUCCUUGUUUCCCCAGUGUGCUUCAGGAGCAAGCUGGUGUGCUGCCAUCAGUUUUUAUGAACUUGAAAGGGCUUCUUCACUGCACGGUUCCGAGCUAAUCAGACUCAACAAGAUGGUUAUCAAGCCAGCCUCAUUAUUACUCUGACAAAUUCCAUGUCAUGCUAAGCUUAGCUGGUGGUUUCAUUGCUUCACUGUAACAAAGACUUUUCCCCUGCUCCAAGUUUAGUUUGACUAGCUAGGGAAGAAUUGCGAUGGUGUUGUGCUCUCAUAUGCACACAUUGUUGUUGUUGUUGUUGUUAUUGAGUCGUUUAGUCGUGUCCGACUCUUCGUGACCCCCUGGACCAGAGCACGCCAGGCCCUCCUGUCUUCCACUGCCUCCGCAGGUUGGUCAAACUCAUGCUGGUAGCUUCAAGAACACUGUCCCACCGUCUCGUCCUCUAUCGUCCCCUUCUCCUUGUGCCCUCCAUCUUUCCCAACAUCAGGGUCUUUUCCAGGGAGCCUUCUCUUCUCAUGAGGUGGCCAAAGUCUUGGAGCCUCAGCUUCGGGAUCUGUCCUUCCAGUGAGCACUCAGGGCUGAUUUCCUUCAGAAUAGAUAGGUUUGGUCUUCUUGCAGUCCAUGGGACACACACCCCUAUCCAUAUUCUGACCCAGCUGAAAACUAUGCAUGACUGAAUCAAGAGGACAGAAGAUCAGCUUGAUUCCCUCAAGAAUGAAAUGUGUUCCCUCUUCGUCUGGCAUCUGCCCCUUUUAUCCUUUGUUGCAAAGUGUUUUAGAGGAUGGAUCUACAUAUUUUUGAUUAAGACCAGGGCCAACAUUACAAAGGAGACAUCUUGCACUUCUCAGUAUCAAGUACAACUGUGCCUCUCUCCCUUCCCCACUACACUGGUGUUAUGUACUGAGCUAGAACAAUACAAUCCAGAAUGCAGCAGUCUGAUUGGUCCGCUGGAGCUCCCCAAUCCAGCUCCUGGAUGAAGUGAAUCAGCAUCCUGAUUGGCCUGCAGGAGCAGCCAAUCAGGCUUCUGGAGGAAGUGAAUCCGCAACCUGAUUGGCCUACAGGAGCAGCCCGGAAUGAGCCAAUGACGCGGGGCCCAUUGGGUAAAUAAUGUAUAUAUAGCCUUCUCUCUUGGAGCGCUAGCCACCGUGGAGUAGGCUCAGGUUGGGCCUGGGCUCAGCAACGUGUCCUUGCCCUCCCGGUGCUCUCCUCCUUAACGGUGGCGGCAGCAGCAGUGGCACAGCAAGGUCGGGGCUCCCCUCUUUUUUCUCCUUCCUCUUUCUCUCUCUUCCUUCUCCUUCUCAUCUUCUCCUUCUCCUUGCGUUGGCUCCUGGCCCCGGAGCACCGCUGCGCAGUUGGCCGGGUGGCCAGGCACUCUCGCUCCCGGCUCGAUUUGGGUCAUGGGGGGGUCAGCAGUUCCCCCAGUUGACACGCCAGGCAUCCCUGGUUCCCCCUUGGCAGUGGUGAUGGCGGCAGCAGUCUCAGUAGCCCGGAGCCAGCCUGGUAGUGCAGUUGGCUCUGGCUGGCUUCAGGAGCUGCUCACUGCCAUGGCGCCCGCCAUUUUGCCUCGAGAGCAGGCUGGGGCCCAGAGGAAGGUCACACGACAGAGGAGACUACAGAAGAGAAGAUAUUACUUCUUAAAAAAAACCAAAAAAACUUUUUUUAAAAAAUAACUUUUUUCUCUUUUUUUAGAAAAAGUGUCCCCGGAUUCUUUGAAAAAAAUCUGGUAACCUUAGCACAAGCCCUGAGUGCUGAUCUGCAUUGCAGGAUAAUUAUAUUUCUCAUUCAUUUUAAAAAAUGUAUUUAUUGCACCUGUCGGUGCUUGCUCAUCAUCCCUAGGAACAGAGAGAGAAAAGUAUGGAGAAUACAUUCGUUAAACUUCAGAACUUCAGGACUGGGAAUUGGCCCUGUGCAAAAAAAAUAAGCCUGUCCCAUUGCGUCUGGCUGCUCAUGCUGAGAUCUAAGUCAUGUUCCUUGAAACCCUGAAAAGCCCUGUAAGUUUAGGCCAAAUAGUGAGAUCUGGCAACCUAGCAGGGAAGCAUAAGCUUCUGCUGCUUCUUUUCCAAUUAUUACACGAGCCCCUGAAAGAGACAAUUAAAAGCAAGUGCCUUUAGCUCAAAUGCUAUAGAGCAGAGAUUGAGGAUGUUGCAUGGUGGAUUUCCAGGUCUAAGUUUGUAAUCCUGCUUUAUGUGAACUUUUUUCAUUUCCUCUUUUCAGCUCCAAACUUCUCCCAAAUUAAAUGGGUGUUGUGAAUUUAAAACAAAAACACACCUUAACAAAUACCUUUAUAGUGGGUUUCAGUUUUGCAUUUCAAAGAGGCUGCAGGAGAGAAUUGAGAAAGCCCUUGCACCUAGUUCCGGCAUGUCCAAAGUCCGGCCCAGGGACCACUUGCGGCCCCCAGGCUGGUUUCAAGUGGCCCCCCAGGCAAUUUUGAAAAAGCAAUCUCUUGCAGCCCCCGAGCGCCUGCCCACCAAAGCCAUUUCCUUUUUGCAGGCUCGUCAUGGCUAGCCCCCACGCCAUUAGGGAGUCCCCAGCUGCAUCACUCCUUGGGUCGACCAAUCUGGUCAGCUGGGGGGGCGUGACUGAAUAAAUAAAUACUACAGUACACGUUCGGGACAUUGAUGCUGCAGCGAUGGCGGUAGCAGAGGGGUGGCUGCCACCUUGACCCAGUGCUGGAUUUAUGUAUAGGCUAAGUAGGCUGAAGCCUAGGGCCUCUAAAUCUAGGGGACCUUGCCACCCCGCCUGCUCCCCAGUGGGCAGUGUCCCCUCUCCCAAAAUUGCAAACCCAAGACUUCAUGUGAGGCCAGGACACCUUGGGCCUCUAAAUCUAGGGGGCCUCACCAGUCUACCUGCUCCCCAGUGCCAUAGUCUCCCGUCCCCCAAAAUUGCAAACCCAAGACUUCAUGCAAGGGCAGGGCGACUCAGGCCCAGCAACUAUGAGACUCAGGGCUAGCCAGUGGGGCCCAAUUUGAAGCAGUAGGGCGCAACAGAAAGCAAACUAAAAAUGCUUUUGCAGUUCAUCAAAACUAUCCAGCAAUAUCAAGUUAUAGGAAAACUAGUCUUAUUAACAGUAAUCCUUCUAGUUGGUUAAUUGGUUCGGCAACUUCCAUGCACAUGACAUGUGAUGCUAAUUAUUUCCCCCAAGAGUUAAAUGAUAACUAAUCAGAGGCAGCUACAGUUGCAAAUGGCAACGAAAUAUCUGUGAAAGGAAGAGGAGCAGGUUUGCUCAGGUGUGUUGCAGGUAGAAAUACUGAUUGUAAUGAAGUGAGAGCAGUAGUUUACUUGCUUGAAUUAGCAAAUAAGAAAGUUUUGAGAAUUUAAAUUCUGGAUUAAAAUGGAUUACUUAAUUAAGAAGGGGAUUGUAACAAAAACACUGGGGCCUAAUUUGAAUAGUAGAGUGCCUGGUAUCUGGUGGGCAGACCAAAGCACUCGUCAGGAAAGCUAUGUGAUUCAGGUGAGGGUGAGAUGCCUUGUCAAUCCCAGCAGGUAUAUAACAGGAAGACCCGGCCUGAGACCUGCCCAGGCCGGGUCUUCCUGUUAUAUACCUGCUGGGAUUGACAAGGCAUCUGACCCUCUCCUGCGGCCUGCCCAAUACAGAACAUGCCAGUAAAUUCAAACAUAAAAAAUACAGAACAUGUCAGUAAAUUCAAAUUUAUUUGAAGAUCAAACAGCAAUGUUUCAAAAUACAAUGGGGAGGAAAGGAUAUUUGCCAGUUCCCAUCAAAAUGUGGCAUAUCCCUAGGUCAAAAGCAAUCCGGUUCUGGGAGUGACAAACAACAGGGGGCUGUUGUCGUUAUACUCUGGUUGUGCAUUUUCCCAAAGACAUCUGGCUGGCCACCAUGGGGAGCUGGGCAUGCUUUAAUAGAUGGACCUUUGAUGUGCUUCACCAAGAUUCCCCCUAGGUCCUUACUUUCCUAUGCCUGGUCUAUUCUGCUCAAUGCAGCUGAGCAGUUUGUUUAAAUUGUAACCCAUGCUCUGUUUAAAGUUUGCUGAGAUCGAGCACAUUGUUCAUAGAAGUGAAUAUGUGCAUCCCCGUAUCACAUUUGAUAUCAUGUUUAUGGGAUGGGAGUGGAGGGCACAACCCUCCUUUUCCACCAUGCAUGCAACAGCAUUGCUAGAUUUCAAAUGUGUGAAUACUGGAGGCUACUUUACAGAGGAGAAGUCCUCGUUUUGAAGGCAUCCUCUGUUUGAGGAGCUGCCCAGGCCAAAUCCAGUUUAAAGGUAAACAGCCCUAAGAAAGGAGAGCUGAGACUUGGAGGUUGCCCAGUAUCAGCACCCAGACACCAAACUGAGCAGGCAAAACAAGUGACCAGGUCAGUCUUCCUCACUGUGGUGUUGAUAGUGUUUCUAAAAUUGCACCUAUAUGUCUAAAUUAGAACAUGCAAAUUUUAUGUACAUUUUUGCUCCUUUUUGUCCUAUUUUGGGUGAUGCAUUUACCCCUUUUAUUUGGCAAAAUGGCUGCCCUAUGUAUGAGAAGCUCUGAGACAAUGACACAUCUAAAGGUUGUAUCAAUCUCAGUCAUUGUGUGAGCAUAACUUCUGCCUGCCCCCCUCCCUCUCCUCCUGCACCUCCAGCUGAUUUGGGGGCAGCGGGGGGGGGGGAGAGGCGGGAGUUCCAUUGUGCAAGUGAAAGUUGUUCUGCUUAGUUGGAUUCAUCCCUAAAUAAACAAACAUGCAAGUUAGGGGCUCAUCAACACUUCUGUAGGGAUGAUCGCGGAGUGGGGAGUGGGGUCCGGAGGGAGCACACUCCCCACCCGCAGGCAGCCUCAGCCUGCCUGCACGCGUGACCUUGGGGUGCGGAGCACACACACCCCUCACAGACAAAGCCACAGCUGUCUGAACAUCGUUGCCUCUGUCUAACCUUUUGCUGUCUCAGUAGUCUGCGGUGUCCUGUCUGUAACCUUUGUCUCUGAGACCUUUUGUCUCCUUCGUCAUACACUGUGCAAGGGGGAAAUGACGCGGUGGAAACAGGUGCCAAAAUAACUUUGUACCACCCCACGAUCUCGAGACCAGAAGAUGGGUAAAGGUCACAGCCCAAAAUGUAUCUGCCUGGUUUGCAUAUUUGUCUCAAUAAAAGGAGGCUCCACAGGGCUGGCUGGCAGCUCACCUGUGCGCAGCUCACCUGCAUUAUCAACUCCUGCCUCAUGUCCGUCACUUCAACUUCUGCUUCCCCUACUGCUUUCCUCCAAGGAAACCCACUUGUAAAUUGGAGCAAAUAUCAAUCAGCUCUUCUGUGGAUUGUCAUUUGCUCCGAUUCAGCAAAAAAGAGCAGGUUUUCCCAGGGACAGCAGUGGGGCCAGCAGAAAACCUAUUGGAACCAUGCUUUCUAGGCACGGGACAAGUGAACUGUAGACCCUCUCAGCAACUCCAAAACUCUGCAGUAUCAGCCAUUGCUAACCUGCUGUCUGUUAAGGAGAUAUUCACAACUUGUUUUCUAUUACGCUUGUGUUAAUCGCUUUCAUCUGUAAAGCUCUUGUUCCAAUUUAGCCCUGGUGCAAAUUGCAUUUACUUCAGAAGAUUUUUGCCCACCUUAAAAUGAACAUCAUUUUGUCAUUUAUAUGUUGCUCAGAAGAAUAAACAAAGCUUUUCAUUUAAGUGGCAAAGCCUGGGAAAAUCAACACAGCAUAACCAAUUGUGAUUGCAUGAAUUAUGUAACUAGUCCCAUUGAUUUCCUUCCAGUUAUCCAAGAAAGAAAAACAAGUUAGGUUCACCUCAAGCACUGAAAAUUUUUAUAUCCUAUUGUUCACCAAAGGCCUUAAACAGUAGCCCAUUUCUGAAAUGCUCCAUGUUCAAGUCAAUAUACUUUUUGGUAUUGGAUCAAAAUCCUCUGAUUUAGGACAGCUUCAUAACAUGAAUGGGUGAGAUGGCAAAAAAUAAUAAUAUUCGGGUGGAUGGAAUGUAAUGACGAGAAAGCUAAAGAUUUCAUUCUAGAACUGUACAACAUUAGAGUGGCAGUUGUGGCACAAACGCAUAGAAUUGUAGUACAAAUGUGAGUUAGACCUGGUGUACGUAUACAGCACAAUGAGGUGGGAGGUUUCUGAGGUGGUAGAAUGGCCAUUACCAAUUUAGAAUGAAAGUUGAGAUUACUCUUUUUUAAAAAAAUAAAAAUAAAAUCCUGCGUAAUAAAUUCCCAGCAAAUAUGUUUCAAACAUAUUUUGUAGUAGCUCAUAAGUGUGGAAAUUUAUAAACCAACCAGCUCCUACCCAAGUUCCCCUAGCAAGGGUUAGCAGUCACUUUUGUGCAGCUUGGCUGAGAGACCAAAAUAGUAAUGUUGGGAUGAGAUAAAAUGGAUUAUUCAGAAUGUCCUUGGAUCAAAGCACGCCAGGUUAAUAAUUCAAAAACUGUGGUUUAUUAAUAAAACAAAAAGAACACAGAAUUGCAGUCAAUGAAACAGACAAAUAAAUGCUCCUGAGACUUUUACCAGGUGGCAUAAUAAGCGAGGGCGUUGUCUGUUGCAUGCUGCAAAGGAGCCAUUGUAAGAGGCAACAGUUAAAGCUGGCAGAAGACGUAGCAUGCACUUCAGGAUAUAUAGCCAGCUAAUUCCAGCUGAAGACCAGAGACAGAAGGUACUACACUUUGUAUUUGGUCAAAUAUUUACAGGACUGCCUGCAAAACUGGUGCAACUGCAUGAUUGAAUGGUGAGGAAAUAAUGACCAUCCAAUUUGUAUCAACACACAUUUUUGUGAGACACUAGGCUUGUUCACAUUUUUGCUUGCCCUGUGACUAGAAAGCAUGGGUCCGAGUGGCUUUCUGGUUUUCUCAUGCUUUCAGUAACAUUUCAGCUACUCUGUAAACAAAUAUCACCUGUAAGCAGGGCUUUUUUGUCAAUAUAUGAGUUUACUGGUACUUUAAUCAAUGAAAGCACUGCUUGCAAUACCCCCAUUAUUUGGGGACCUGAAUGUUGGCCUUUGUCAUUUGCCUACCUCUGUCCUAGAUUAAUGGCCAUCAGCCAUGUGAGUAGACUGGUUGUAUGUGCUUUCCCCAUGGAAUCAGGAGUGUGCCAUAUCAAAGGAAGGACCCACACGACAAGUUCACCCACAUAAUUGCAGGCCUUUUAAGAGCAUACUGUCUGCCACAGGCACCUGCUCCUCCGUUCAAGGCAGUUUCACCCCCCUUGUAUUUUUUGAGGGGGCCGGGGCCCCCCCAAUGUUCAGAGGGAAUUCGGCUCUGCCCCCUGGCUCCUUUCAACAUGUGCAUGCGAUUUCAGGAUAUCAUGUGUCAUUGCACAUGCGACAUCAUGACGUCACAUUGGGCCCCCUGUAUCAACUUGAGAAGAUGGCGCCUCUGCGGGCUGCCAUGGCAUGAACGCACAGAAAAUACUAUAAUUCACCCUAGGACCUAGGGUGAAGGGCAGGUAUAAUUAUUAUUAUUAUUAUUAUUAUUAUUAUUAAUUAUUUAUACCCCGGCCAUCUGGCUGAGUUUCCCCAGCCACUCUGGGCGGCUUCCAAUCAAGUGUUAAAAACAACACAGCAUUAAAUAUUAAAAACUUCCCUAAACAGGGCUGCCUUCAGAUGUCUUUUAAAAAGAAGAUAGCUGCUUAUAAAUGUAUUAUUAUUCUUAUUAUUACUAUUACUAUUAUUGCUUCCCUUAGUGCUAGGGUGACAUUUAAAGAAAACCUGCGAUGCUACUGAAAGGACUCUCAUGCUAGAAAACAAUCGUGUGAGAUUCAGUGGGCCUGCUAAAACGAUAUACCCUGGGUUUGCAAAGCAAACACUAGCACACAAGCUUAACUUGAUUCUCAUUCCUAGCCUCAUUGAACUCAGAGUGACUGCACACCUGGGCGAAUUCAAACACAGCCUUAAGAGCUCACAUUAACAGUGAUUAAUUUUUAAAUCAUUAUUAUUUGUUGUCCUUGCUAUAAAUUUGCAGAAGUACUACCAGGAAAAGCGGUAAACCUGUUUUUAUUGUGUGAUAAAGCAAACUAUACAAAAUGCAUAUGUUUCCUUUUUCCAAGAAGAGAGAGAAACUGCUGCUCUUUAUAACACUCUGGCAAAACAACUUUAUUGGUUUUACUGCAUCAUUUUUACUUAUUAAAAUUUAAUAAUGUUUGUUGAUGAAAUAAAUGAAACAAUUUUACAAUGAUUUGUGCUUGCUUACUUGGGUUUUCAGGGUUGCUGCAUUUCUUUCUAGAAUGUGUGGGGCCUUCUGAAAGGCUGAAGUCCUGUGACGACGAGCUCUGUAGAGAUGAAUGCCCAGGGCGUGAGACAGGGAGCUCUAAUAAGGUCAACUACUGACCCCAUCUUUCCACUGCAAACCCCACACAUUUGAGAUGGUGGUAGGCAUAGUGUCCAAUGAGGAUAGGGUUGUCUCUGACUAAGUCCUACUCACUGGAAUUAACAGACCUAAUGUAUUCCAUGACCAUUCAUUUCAGUGGGUCUGCUUUAAGUAGGACUAAAACGGGAUAGAACCCCCAUGGACUCCAAACAUCCAACCGGAGGGGUGGGGGGAAGAAAUUAAACACCUUAAGGCAAAACCUUUCAGCUUCUGCCUUCUUCAGCUGCUCUGAUGUUAAUCAAAGACUGUUGCAUGGUCAUGGUGAAGGUUGAAAAAGAACUUUUUUGAGAGUUAUGGCACUCCUUUAAAGUAAUAUAUAUGCUUCCAUAUAUAUAUAUGCUUUUGAAUUAUGGUGCUGGAGGAGAUUCUUGAGAGUCCCAUGGACUGCAAGAAGAUCAAACCUAUUCAUUCUGAAGGAAAUCAGCCCUGAGUGCUCACUGGAAGGACAUAUCCUGAAGCCGAGGCUCCAAUACUUUGGCACCUCGUGAGAAGAGAAGACUCCCUGGAAAAGACCCUGAUGUUGGGAAAGAUGGAGGGCACAAGGAGAAGGGGACGACAGAGGAUGAGCUGGUGGGACAGUGUUCUUGAAGC
rnacentral:lncRNA from 1 species